rnacentral:tRNA from 4 species
GAGAGGUGUUUAGAACACUAAGAA